GACGAACGCUGGCGGCGUGCUUAACACAUGCAAGUCGAACGGAAAGGCCCUGCUUUUGUGGGGUGCUCGAGUGGCGAACGGGUGAGUAACACGUGAGUAACCUGCCCGUGACUUUGGGAUAACUUCAGGAAACUGGGGCUAAUACCGGAUAGGAGCUCCUGCUGCAUGGUGGGGGUUGGAAAGGUUCGGCGGUUGGGGAUGGACUCGCGGCUUAUCAGCUUGUUGGUGGGGUAGUGGCUUACCAAGGCUUUGACGGGUAGCCGGCCUGAGAGGGUGACCGGCCACAUUGGGCCUGAGAUACGGCCCAGACUCCUACGGGAGGCAGCAGUGGGGAAUAUUGCACAAUGGGCGGAAGCCUGAUGCAGCAACGCCGCGUGCGGGAUGACGGCCUUCGGGUUGUAAACCGCUUUCGCCUGUGACGAAGCGUGAGUGACGGUAAUGGGUAAAGAAGCACCGGCUAACUACGUG
rnacentral:rRNA from 1 species